AAUAAACUGGCGUAAUCUGAUUAACGAGUAAACUCUACAAAAUUGGAAAUUCUAACCAAAUGUUUGGUGUACUUAUUCAGAUGAUUCCGAGAAUUUUAAUUAAAUACAAGACAUCUGUUACUAUUUUCUGUAAGACGCAAGUAAAUUUAUAUCGAAUAAAGAAAGAAAGAGUCAGCAGGAGAUGAUGAGCAAAAGAAUUUUAGCUAAAGGACCUUGAAACCCGUACGACGGGCUUUAUUAGUCGGUAGGAGAGAAAAACGUCGAGGAAGAUAGAGAGAAAGAGAAUAAAAAUAUAUAUACACGUAUGAAUACAUACAUAAUUUCCAAGAAUAAUAGAAAAAGGAGAGAGUUUACAAUCGACUAUUGGAACCUUAUGGAGAAUUACUUUUAAUACGUAUAAUCAAAAGGACUUUUAACGCGAAAAAAGAAGAAGUAAAAUUUGAAAUGUAGUCAGAGUAUACUUAGAAGCAGGUACAAAAAAUAAAUACAGGACGAAGCGCAUUUGAAUUCAAAUUUCUUGCUGAAACCGAUUACUCGAUAUAAUACGAACCGGUCACGAAAGACGCCAUCUGACGAACGUACAAAUUAUUAUCCUAUUUUUUGGGGGUUUAAAGAUUGAUCUGUUGGUCUGUUAUUUAAUGUACAUGUUCAUCAUUUAUCUAUGUAAUAACAUGGAUCUAUUGCACCUGCGUUUCUAGAAAAGAAAGAUCUGCAGGUAGACAAGUAAAUGGGAAAGAAACAAAGAGGUCCAGCGAGUAGACUUAAACGGUAUAAAGAUUCGUGCCGGCGGCAGGACCCGAAGGACGAGCCAACAAGAAAACGAUAUAGGGAAAGAGAAACUGUGGAGGGUAAGGGACGAACUGGCAUCCCAAAUGGACCGGAGCUUAUGUACCCAUUUCGUCGGGUUACAUCUGUGUGUAUAUAUACGCAUACAUCUUGCAUCAGAUUGAGGGAAUUUAGAGGAGCCAAUUUAUUGAAUAAUUAAAUGGAACACAUUGAUAAAAGGAUUGAUCUGUAAUUUAUCAAUACUUGAUUGGACAAAUACUAGAUAAAAAAAAAAUUACUCCAAAAAAUAAUUCUAAAAUUGAAACACAAAUAUAACUCGAAAAAUCCGUUAGCUAAAAAUGUCAUGAGUAUUUGCAAGGGGUGAUUGUCGGAUUAUUAUAUCCCUCAUCCCUUUUUACGUACAAAUCUUCGCUUCAAUGAUCACGUGUGUAUGUGUGUGUAACGUUCAAUACUCAUUUCCCACAGAAUAACUUAAUAAUACGGAUUUAAUGAUUUAUAACACUCAGGACCAUGUCCUCAGUGGUUUUUUUUUGUCGCAACGAGAUAGAGAUAAGUAGGCAAAGGCGGGUAUUAAUGGCUCCGACAUAUUUUCAUGCCUCGUCGAGCUGAGAAUUCCCAAGCAUCGUUUAUG